UUUUAUAUAGUUUAAAAUAAAACAAUACAUUUUCAUUGUAUAAAUAGUAUAUAAAUACUUAUAAAUA
rnacentral:tRNA from 1 species